CUUAGGAUUUUAAAAAGAAGAAGUACUAAUUACUUAAUUUUCAGUGAGUUAAGGAUAGUGUGAACUUAACAUGCGAGUAUUUACGAAUAACAUCUUUUUACAUCGGCCUGAACCAAUAGUAGGGUUUGACGUAUGUGACACGUUAUAGUCAUAAAGCAUGUUUGUGCUUGUUUGAGAUGUUUUCGGAAGAAAACAAAUUUGGGUGGUACCGCGAAUGACUUUCGUCCCUUUU
rnacentral:ncRNA from 1 species